AAUAUCGGAUCCCAUACGAUCACCGAAGUUAAAUAACGUUGAGCCUGGUCAGUACCUAGGUGGGUGACCGCUUAGGAAUACCACGUGCUAU